rnacentral:rRNA from 1 species
UACGGGGGGGGCAAGCGUUGUUCGGAAUUACUGGGCGUAAAGGGCUCGUAGGCGGCCAACUAAGUCAUACGUGAAAUCCCUCGGCUUAACCGGGGAACUGCGUCUGAUACUGGAUGGCUUGAGUUCGGGAGAGGGAUGCGGAAUUCCGAGGUGUAGCGGUGAAAUGCGCAGAUAUCAGGAGGAACACCGGUGGCGAAGGCGGGUCUCUGGGCCGAUGACUGACGCUGAGGAGCGAAAGCGUGGGGAGCGAACAGG